rnacentral:rRNA from 1 species
UACAGAGGGUGCAAGCGUUAAUCGGAAUUACUGGGCGUAAAGCGUGCGUAGACGGUUAUGUAAGUUAGGUGUGAAAUCCCCGGGCUCAACCUGGGAACUGCAUUUGUGACUGCACGGCUGGAGUGCGGCAGAGGGGGAUGGAAUUCCGCGUGUAGCAGUGAAAUGCGUAGAUAUGCGGAGGAACACCGAUGGCGAAGGCAAUCCCCUGGGCCUGCACUGACGCUCAUGCACGAAAGCGUGGGGAGCAAACAGG